rnacentral:tRNA from 1 species
GCGCCGGUGGUGUAGUGGCGAAAAGCACUCCGCCUGGUCAGCAGGAGGUGCGGGGUCGAGUUCCGCCUGGUGCU